rnacentral:lncRNA from 1 species
GGCUCUUUUUAUAUCGGAACUAGGUGCUCUUGCUGAUAGUAUGUCCCCAGGCGUUAUCAGAUCGUUAGUGGCGUUAAAGGACAACAAACCUUUAUUUAAGUAGAAGUAGAACAGUGUUGGAUCAUCAUCAUCGGCGACAACGUUAUUCAAUUGUGAUGUUGAAGUUUUGAUGUCCCUGUGUUAUGAAAAUUCAUAUAUUGGAAACGACAUCAUCCUUAUUAAAAUCACAAUUUUUUCCUUGUUUACAAAGCCAU